CCAUCCCGGAGUCUAUGUAUUUAAAUAUAUACAUUUAUUGAGGGCCCCACAACUUAUAUGUUUUAUUAGGCGAGGCUCAUCUCGUUUAUUUUCAAAGGAUAAUCCUAAUCUGACUAUGUUUUUCUAUUAAAUUCGUCUCUAUAAAAGAGAAAAAGCCCUAAUUAAUUACAUGUUUAUAAGUUCAAGCCUUUAUUAGUUAUUUGAUUAAUGCGAACGAAAAUUGCCCUCGAGUUCGUAAAAAUGGAGAAUUGUUUCGUGCCUUAUUCUACAAGCGAAUAUUACUACAGCUGGUAACUACAUCCUAGUAGUUCAUUAUAAUUAUAACUUCAAUUAGUCCAAAUCAAACUGAAUACAGUCCAGCUAUACAAAGCUGGCAGAAAUCUACAUAAGAAUAGUAUAAGAAAUGUUCUAAAAUAAAAUCAUGUAAAGAAGAAAAAGAUAAAUCAAAACUUCAAACUUCCAUUUUUUAUAUGUAUUCAUGCUUCUACGUUUUUUAGCUUACAAUUGCCAGUGUUACAGUCGUGUACCUGGUAUUGAAACAAGAGAAGAGGAAGGUGAGAAAUCAGCAAGCCAGUAAUCAAUACAGCAAAACAAUAACAGUAGUGGCUAAACCCAGCAACAGAUUUUAACAAAACCCAACAAACCAAUAGUAACAGACUAGAAACCCAGUAAGAUCAAACCAGAAAACACCAACAGUAACAGUCUUUAACCUAGAGCAAUAUCAACACUAGCCAAAUGAACUCAAAGAUACACUAGAGUUACUUAAGAUCAGUCUUAGUGUAUUUGAAUCAAGAGAAAUGAAAUCGAUGAAGCAAAAAAAGAGGCUUCAAAUAAACAGUGGAGUUUUAAGCUCUCUAAUUUUUAACUCUCAAUUCUUUUUCUUCUUCUCUAUUUUUCCUCUUCUCUUAAGUUCUGAAACUUUUAUCUCUCAAAGUUCAGUCCCCUCUAAGUGUUAAAUGAGUCCUAUUAUAUACCCAAAGUAAGACUCUUUCCUAUAU
rnacentral:lncRNA from 1 species